CUGCACAGGCAACUCAUUUUUCUCUCGAACAUUAUUAUUAUACAUGACUACUUAUUAGAGCUGUGGCAGAUACCGCCAACGCCCAUGUUCUUCGCCUGGGGCCUGCCCGUUUGUUGACUGGAUUCCAACACGUAACUCCAUCUCUUCUGCCAGUUGCGGAAACUUAAUCUGGAGACAGGAGCUUUGCCGUGCUGUGCCUCACUCUUCCUAAAUAGAAUUUCCCUGUCGCGCCAAAAUGUUCCGUGAGGCUCUGAGAAAAGGAAAACCGAAAAAGCAUCCGCGGGAAGAAGCCCUCGGUUCACAACAGCCAGAGCCUCACCGUGGCUUUGACAAAGCUCCUGAAACAACGAUUGUCCUUGAGUUCAUUUCCCUGUAAUGUUGUUUACGGCCUCUCCGGAGAAUUGCCACCGGUGACCCCAGCCCCAAGGUCAGCCCGCGUCUGCCGCCUAGCAGGACUCUAACCUUGCCAACCUUUAUGGCACAGAGACUGGCUGCUUCAGCUUUCUGGGAAGGAUUCUGGAGUGCUUACCCAGACUAGAUCGGGGAGGGGGGGGGGGACCGUGUUGGUAUCAUUUUCCCAAACCGGGCCCGGGCCUCUUCACGUUCUCCUUGGCUCCUAAGGGCCGGAUAGUUUAUGUCCCGCUCCCUCCUCUGGGUGUUGGCCAGAAACGUGAUCACCGUGAGGAGAAACCGCCUUCUUUGCUCCUUAAGCAAAUCAUCCUUGUGGUCUUGAUAAGUAAACAACAAAUAAGCUGCCGGAGGAACUCCUCUGACUUUCAGGAAAGUAUUCUACAAAUUGGGCCUAUCCAAAGUGACAGGAGGAAGAACAUUAAGCAUCUGACAAGAUGAUAUCUAAGUUCAAUUUCCUACUCUUUACCUGAUUUAUACCUGCAGAAGAUAAUUUUCCUUUCUGUCAUAAACAGCCCUAUAAAUCAGCAGUGCUUAUGGAGCAGCCACACCGAGAGCCCCCAGCUUUGCAGCCUCUGUGUUUCCUAUUAGGAAGCCAUUACUGCAGAAUUUUCCUCCUUCAAACAAAAAUGAUGAAAUUUAAUACCACUGAGAUUACAAAGAUUAAGAGCUGAAAUACUGCGGGGGCUUUUCAAUUGAAGCAGCUAUCUGAGCAAUCUUUGCAAAACUCAAUAAAACCAGGGUUUCUGCCUUUGACAUCAUUAUCCAUCUGUUUGGAUGAAAUUGCUGUAUCAUGGUAUAAAUCUGUGAUACAAGUGACAUAACCUCUGAAAUAAAAGGGAACAUUAACUGCUCUAUCUUCUGGAGGCCCUGGGACCGGCUGGCUAUAAGCUCACUCAAGUGUGAUGGCAGUUAUUCUGUGUUUUACUAGACUGGAGACAAUUAUCCUUUGCUCUCCUCCCCUCUUAUGACAAACUGCCAGAGCUUCUGCUGAAAUGAUCUCAAAUAGAUUUUCUAAAAUGCUUAGUACUAGAUUGCCUCCAUACAUUAUUUCUUUUCAAUGGGCUGAAAAUAAAAACCUAAUCCACAAAUCAAUUGCUACAUCUAUCAGAUGCACGUUGGUGCACAUUUUAUUUUGUUCUAUCAAGAUUUUAUACUGCUUAGACCCUCUUUGCAGCGUUUUACAUAGAUGGGUGUGCUGCAGGAAGGCGGCUUGCCCAGGGUUCAAUAGGAGUCAAGAGACAUUUAGCCUUAUGAGAGGGGAAUCUUGUGAGUGGAGCGCUGAUGAUAAUGGGAAGUGUGAAGAGGGCUCUUUCAGCUCCUGCUCCUCUGGCUGUGGCAUCACUCCAAGCCCCCUGAAGUGCCAGCCAAACUGAAGGGGGAGCGGCGUAAGGGAAGAAGAGGAGGCAAGUGUCCACGAGGACGCCGUCCCGGAUGAACUCCCUUCCCGCCUUCUUCUUCCUCCUCCAGAGCUGGUCGGCACAGUUGAGGCCUCCUCCACCCAAGGAAGGUGGCGCCCAUCUUGUCUGCCACACUCGAUCCCUCGAGGGAAGACUGGAACGUGCUUUAAAGAUCCUGAUCCGUAGCCAACACGUCAGCUCAUCUUGUGAUAGGUGGUUGUGGCACCCCGGUGGGUACAAGACUCGUAUGGACUUAGAUUCGGUCUUUUGUGCAAUUACGCUUCACGGGUCUACGCGUGGGGCAGAAGCCUCUGAGGGGCUGGUUACUUGUUUACUGAGCUCAGCAGACGAAUCAGCAAUAGCAACGCGUUCCUAAAUCUGCAGUACAAGUUACAGACUCUCAGUGUGCUCUCAUUGGCUCGACAAAAUAUUCAGUCCCCGGUAGACAUUGACUCUUCUAGUAUUUACAGGUGCAAUCGGAAGCAUUCAUGGUAAAAUUCCAUUUUCCCAACACGAUAGCUGGUACCAGGUCGGGACUGCUGGCCGCCUUUCCGGAGGGAGACCUACCCCCCUCUGCCCCUAUCCCCACUCUCUUCUUACACUGGCACGCAUAUGUGUGUUCUCCUGGGACUUCAUUUUGUUGUUUGCAAAGGAGGGAAAGACAUGGAAAGAAUGAAAAAUGUCUUUAUAGACCGUUCUGUUUUGGUCAGACAGCCAGAAAAACAAGUCAAUUAAUAAGCAAUCAAGUUUCCUCAAUAUUAUAAAUUGCUCAGGGAAUCCUUGUAAUCACUGAUAUUAGUUGCUUAAAAGGUUGAACCAGAAGAGGGUGAAACAGCAGUGUUUUCCUGGGACUGUACUGACACGGGAUCUACGAUACCAAACCUCGUCAAAAUCCACAGUUCUUAGAAAAAUUUGAAUCCGUUUAAACAUACCUAUAUGAGUUUUAUGAAAUGUCGGAGACUACAUGUCUCGUACGUUUUCUUAUUCAUUGAAGGCACCAUGAGCUGGAAAAUCAUAAUUUGGAGAAAACCAAUCUGUAUGAAAUUAAACAAAAAAAAGGAGUAGAGUACGCACAGGCUAGUUGAUGAUCGCUUCAACACAUGCACGGCCUCAGAGUUUCAAGGCAGGGGGAUGUGGAGCUAGAGAAUCUGUAGUUUUAGAAGUUCCCCUAGGUGAUUCUGAUGAGCGGCCGUGGCUAGCUGGGCACCACGGAUACACAGCCUACCAGCUGCUCUCCAUCUCCAUGGCAACAGAGGCAGAAGAGGCAAGCAUUAACUGUAGCAUAAAGUAUUUAAGCUAAUGCAAGUUUGCUUUUAAUUACUAGAUUUGCAUUUGUCAUUAUGACCCUUUAGUGGAUAUCUUCUCCUUGGCCCCAUGCCUAAGAUUUGGGUCGCUCCCACCAGGUGAACAGUCAUGCUUUUGGUUAUAGAUUUUUACCAAGGCUCUUUACCAAUUAUGUAUAAAGGAAAAACUUAUUAGAACCCAAGUCAGUCACACUUCCUCUCUUCUUCUCAACUUCUUCUCUGGAGACUCACGCUGUUAAAAAUUAUGGUAUACAGAACGAAUGCAUCUAAUUUUAAGUAUAAACAAUGGAAUAAAGUAGAGGACAAGAGAGAAAGAAAGAUAAAUGCCCGGGUAUAUAUUUAAAGAACAUUGCUUCCUAAGUCUCAACUGUUGCAAACUGUUUUUAAUUUAAUUCUGGUUUUCCUGACUGAGACUAACUAGGACAACUAGCAUAUCUGAUUUCAUUUAAAAGGCCAGAAUUCUUUACAGCUAUACUUGUUCCCAAAUUUCUUCUUUCUUUAAAGCUUUAGAAGAAGUCUAUUUUUCCUGCAACUUAAGGCAUCAAAAGCUGUUUUGCAAUAUUGUAGCUUUUCAUGGAGAAAUAUUAUUAAUAAUAAUAAUGUAUGCAGUUUCCUCUACCUAUUUCCUGUUCUAAUUGCCUUUUCCCCUGCUCUCUUUUUAAUAGAAAAUCUAUUUCUUCACCGAAUUUUCUUAGUGUCUUCUAGUUUUUUUUUUCCUGCCAAAAAAAAGCUUCUUGCCUAAGUUGACCUUUGUUUCUAAACUUUAUUAUCACUAAUGAUGAUGAUAAAUAAUAAAUACCUUAAUAUGUUCUUCA